rnacentral:rRNA from 1 species
UACGUAGGUGGCAAGCGUUGUCCGGAUUUAUUGGGUUUAAAGGGUGCGUAGGCGGCUUUGUAAGUCAGUGGUGAAAUAUGGCAGCUUAACUGUCAAGGUGCCAUUGAUACUGCAGAGCUUGAGUACAGAUGAGGUAGGCGGAAUUGACGGUGUAGCGGUGAAAUGCAUAGAUAUCGUCAAGAACACCGAUAGCGAAGGCAGCUUACCAAGCUGUAACUGACACUGAGGCACGAAAGUGUGGGGAUCAAACAGG